UACGUAGGGUGCAAGCGUUGUCCGGAUUUAUUGGGCGUAAAGAGCUCGUAGGCGGCUUGGCAAGUCGGGUGUGAAACCUCCAGGCUCAACCUGGAGACGCCACUCGAUACUGCCAUGGCUAGAGUCCGGUAGGGGACCACGGAAUUCCUGGUGUAGCGGUGAAAUGCGCAGAUAUCAGGAGGAACACCGGUGGCGAAGGCGGUGGUCUGGGCCGGCACUGACGCUCAUGCACGAAAGCGUGGGGAGCAAACAGG
rnacentral:rRNA from 1 species